rnacentral:lncRNA from 1 species
CGCCUUGAGUGAGCAGGAAUCAAAGGAAAUAAUAUUGAUGAAAGAAACAGUAUUUAUGAAGCGUUUUAGAAAGUAACCUAUCUUUGAGGAUGCUUCUGCUAUAAUUGAGCGUUUGUGUAUUAACCUGAAGAACGAAGCCGCAAAUGUGCGCAUCAGUAGGAGUUGCCGUCAAGACCUCAAGCCCUUUAUUCUUAAAAGGGUUUUUAUGAAGUAAAAUUAUUCCUGGAUGAGAUAGAAUCUUAGCCAGUGCAGGAGAAAGAAAACACCCCAGUUUAGUAUCUUAUACUCCUUUUUGCACCUGUAAGACUGACAAUGGUAUUGAAUAAUAACGUGACAAAUUUCCAUUUGCUGAUUGAUGGUCUGAGCCAGCAGUGGGAUUUGGGAAAAAAAAAUAAAUAAGAGGUUAUCUAUUUUAGGGACCAGUUUCAGGUUUUCUACAGCAUGCACACUUGUUGCUACCCUCAUUCUAUCAUCAAUAUACUUGCCUUAUGAAUGUGAUUGCAGCUGUGAACAUCCUCUACCAUAAUGGUUGCUAAGGAGAAUUAAGUCCUUCUGUUUUAACAUUUAAAAUAUCUCAAUGCACAUGACAUAAUUAAACACUAAUAAUACCAUGCCUGCAUAGCUGAUAUUAACCUCUAUUGCAUGCUCCUAGAUUCUAGAACUUAUCGGGCAUGUGGUAUACUAAAGCAAUACCCAUUUGACAAGGACAUUUUGCUUCUUCCAGACACCAGAAGAAGUAGCCAUCAAGAAGUGGCCAUCAAUUAUUUGAAAAGAGACACAGAGACACCUCUGGCUGCCUAGCGUUCUUCUUGUCUUGACCCAAUUUAGGAGAAAACUCCCAAGUGGGACUUUAUCUUACAAAUGGAACUGCAGUCAAGAUGGAUCAAUAAUAUGGUUUGGCUCUGCAAAGCCAUCUGUGUGCUCUUUUAGGCUUUAGACAAGCCACACAUUGGAAAGUGACACUUUUUUUAUGUAGUUCAAAUGUAUUACCAUGACACUUAACAUUAAUAUCGUAUCUGUUAAAAGAAUGUGUAGUAAACUCAAGUUAUAAUAAAAUGAGCAGUUCAAGUGGGAAGCGGUUCUAAAAUGUAUGAUCUGAGGCUUUCCAUUUUUGUCUUCAGUUUACUAAAUUUAUUUAGAAAUAAUUGGAAUGCAAAAUUGUUGAAAAUGACUUUAUACAAUUAAAGUGGGAGUAAAGAAACAAAAUAAUCAUCUAUCAGCAAUUCCGACUGCGCAUUAAAUCUGGGGCUGACCAGCCUCGGUUAACUGUGGAAUUCAGGAAAAAAACCAGCUUGCUUUGUUGCAAGCCAGGCUAGUGGGAACACUUGUGCAUUUGAAUAAUUACGGGAGUUGCAGGAAACUUUGACAUGUUUGUAGAAAAAUAAAACCAAACAACAGUGUUCAUCACUAACGAUAGAUCAGCAGUCAUUUUAUUAAUCUCUUCCCUUUGUGCAUGCACCGUUUCUCUCUUAUUAAGGUUUCAUCUGUUCUCAUUUUUCUCCAUUCAAAUAAUCAAUUAAAGUUCAGACAACUAUUCCUCCGAGUUUUUUCCUUCUGUCUCUGGUCUUCUUGCAUAUCUCCUUGAGAACACUAUAACCUUAACAGUGUACCUAAAAGCACUGGUGAUGAAAGUAAUGUCUUUGCUCUGGCUUUAUUUAUUUAAUAUUACUUUUAGCUUGUAAAACUGUUUUUACCUUUUAUAACUCAAUAGACCCUGUAUACCAGCAUUAAAAGAAAUAGAUAUAAUUUCCUUUCUGUAAGUAUAAUCGAUCUGGGGGAAUAGACUGUAACAACAGAGAGCUGAAUGUUCCUUUUUUGGGGGGAUGCUUCUCUAAAUCUCUAUCAAAAGGGUCUUCAUUUAAUUAGCUCUUUACCCUUGUUUCUCUCUCUGGAUGCUACAAACGCUCUUCCUUGCUCUUCCUAUAAACAUUUGCCAAGCAUAUCAACUUAGCUUUUCAAUUACCUGAUAUCUUGCAGUGUUCCUGGCUAUAACACUGAGAACCACCUUCUGCAGGCUUGGUGCCACGUGGGAGACCUACUUCAGGUUAUAUUUACUGGUAAUUAACUCCACAGGACUGAUUCACUUUUAAUUUUGAAGCAGCAAUGAGGUGUCUAAAAAUGCCUUACUUGGGCAAUAGCUGCGAGUUGGAGUUACUGCUGUAACAAAUUAAGUUAAUGAAGAUUGGGUUCCUAUUUAAAUGAAACUACCUAUUAUCCACUCAGGAAUGAAAAAAUCCUAACUGCUGUUGUGGGCUGCCCUACUUUGGCUUUUCUACUGUUUUUCUUUAGGUGUAUGCCUGUUAAGACAUAUAGCACCCUCUCCCCGUGGGACUUGAAUGGCUAAAUGGUGGGCUGUAAUAAGCGUGACUCAUCUUAGCACUUCCCUGCUGCCAAAAUGAAGUUAUGUGCGUAAACAAGGAUGCUGUUUUGUACUGAGACACCUGCACGUGGUUUUUGUUUUAAAGCCUGUGGGGUUUCACUCUCUGAUAGAGAAAGCCCUUGAAAAGAUUUGCUCACCAAGGACCUUUGGUCUGCCAUGGCGUCUGGGUUCAGUGCAACCCUACUCUUCUGAAGACAAACACAUCGGCCGAUGUCAUCGUCAUGGGGGACCCUCAUUCCAUCCUCCCAGGGACUUGGACGUGGCUUACCUGGCUCUUUGGCAGUCCUAGGAGCUGACUUGACAAAGGGCAUCAGUGACACAUACUUAAAUUCAAGAGUGUUGAGAAAACCUGGAGGUGUCCCUUGCUAUCAGAGGGCUGCCCUUAAUGUUUGUGGGGUGUGGGGCAAGGACGCCUCUCUAGAUGGAAGCUCGUGGUCUACAGGAACAAGGUCCGGGGUGGACCCUUUUUGCCUUUCAGCUCGCACUCAGUACCCUGAGGGGCCGCCACGCGCGUGCCUGGACUCAGCCCACAGGUCCAAGCUCUGCCCACGUCCACUUCUUAACGCACCACCUUGUCUGCCUCCAGGAUCUAGCAGUCCACAGGCAGGGGUAGAGCAUGUCCUGGAAGUGACCUUGGGCCAUUUAGGUAGAGCAUGUCCUGGAAGUGACCUUGGGCCAUUUAGGCAGGCCAUUCUGGGCAUCCGGUACCACGGCCUUGGAAGGAGCCGUGAGCUCUGGGUGUGCACAUUUCCUUGGGACCCCCUUCUGUGAGGAGGGGGGCGGCCAGAGGAAGGUGGGAGCAGCCCCUUUAAAGCACAGAGACCCAGGUGGGGACCCCAGUAUCUUGAGCCUAUAGGCUGUGCUGCCUUCACAUGCAUCCUGUUCCCUAGCUCCUCACACCUCAAGGGAGUCCUGAAACAGGUGCCACGUAUCGGGUUUCCUCAGGUACGUGACCACAUCAGGCCUGAUGCUGUAGAUGGGGAGGUUGGUGGGUUGGGGUGGGAAGCGUGUACGUGAAACGAGGGAGGUGGGAUGUCGAAGGCUAUGGAAGGGGAAUGAUGGGACAGGGGAAGUACUGCAUGGUUCUCUUGCAAAGUUUCAUGUGUAUCUUUUACACAAACUUUUUAUAAUGAAAAGUUAAAAAAAAGUGAAGCUAAACGGGUCAGUGGGCAGUUGGGGGAGGGAAGAAAGAAGGAAGCAAGGAAGAGAAAAAAAUGAAAGAAAGAAAAGUCAUGUGCCUGACAUCGUGUAGCAACUUAAAUGCAGGAGCUGAGACUCGAAGCUCUGUCUGACUCCAGAGCACGAGAAGUACUGCACUGUGCAAUAAAAUCAGAGUUUUUUGUCAGGUGUGGAAUCCCCUCCUAAGUUCCCCAAUCUUCUCGCCCCUGCUUGCAUCCUUCCCUGUAGCCACGUUGGUCCCUGCACUGCCUUCUAAACAUGGCCCGCGUUCUGUAUCGGAGCCUCCUUCAUUCAGGGACCUUCUUGGAGUCUUCUCGCAUCUCAUCACCGGUUUUAUCUAUUGGGGAAAUGCCUCCUGGUUUCUGGGACUAGGUCACUGCCAGUUGUAUCAGGGAGUGUCAGCCAGGCAUCUUUUACACUAGACCUUAUGGGCAGACUCAAGCCAUAAACAAAGCGGAGUAUCCAGAUCCAGGCAAGAAUAAUUUUUGCCAUGUUCUAUGUACCAUUGAAGAAGAUGCUUGGCUUGGGGAAGAGAAGACUCUAUGAGAGACCAUAGGAUGCCUUCCAAAAUCUGAACAUGACCACAGGUUCUGGGAAUUAAAACAUGACAUCCUUUGGGGAGUGGGGGGGGGGGCUUUAUUCCACCUGCCUCAGACACAGAAGCAAGACUGUGUAUGGUGUGUUUGACUGCAAAGAAAACAAGUUAAAAGAUGGAAAAAGAGAUAAAGUAAGGUGGGAAGGGAAGAUGGUAUUGAUCCAAACAUAUUUUCUUAGAGCCAGUUUUAUGAGUUUUUUGAGGCCUCUGUCCUUCUAGACUAAACACAAAAGGCUUAGUGAUUUAGAAACUUUUUCUUUGUAUCCUUACUAAUUAAGAAAUGUAUAUCAAGUUUUGGAGUUCCUGCUAGGGCUUGCUCAGCAGGUUAAGGACCUGAUGUUUCUGUGAGGAUGUGCGUCCCAUCCCUGGUCUUGCUCAUUGGGUUAAGGAUCCAGUGUUGCCAAAAGCUUCAGGGUACACUGCGGAUGUGCUUGGAUCUGAUGUUGCCGAGAUGGUGGCAUAGGCUGCAGCUGCAGCUCUGACUCAAUCCCUGGUGUGGGAACCUGCAUAUGCCAACCAUAACAGGUGCAUUGGUAAAAAGAAAAAAAAAAAAAGAAUGUAUACCAAGUUUUAAUUUUUAGUGUUUGUAUGGCAAAACAAUACUCUUAAAAAUAUAAAAUCAUACC